UACAAUCCACAGUCAGGAGUUUGGUAUAGAAGUUACAAUCAAUUUUGAAAGGAACAUAGUAGUUUUGCAAUCAAGUUUGUUUGUGUUAAUGGCGACAUUACCGGUGAAGGAGUUGAUGAAAUAGGUUCUCAUACCAUACAAGGUAGCUGGAAUGUUCGUCAUGGAACAGUACAGUUCCUAAAGCAAUACAGUGGAAAACACAGCGUAAAUUAUAAUGGCCAACUGUCACCGAACAGCUGUAGUAUGUCUGGCCA
rnacentral:lncRNA from 1 species